rnacentral:rRNA from 1 species
AACGAACGCUGGCGGCAUGCCUAACACACGCAAGUCGAACGAGACCUUCGGGUCUAGUGGCGCACGGGUGCGUAACGCGUGGGAAUCUGCCCUCAGGUACGGAAUAACUCAGGGAAACUUGAGCUAAUACCGUAUAAUGACUUCGGUCCAAAGAUUUAUCGCCUGGGGAUGAGCCCGCGUCGGAUUAGCUAGUUGGUGAGGUAAAGGCUCACCAAGGCGACGAUCCGUAGCUGGUCUGAGAGGAUGAUCAGCCACACUGGGACUGAGACACGGCCCAGACUCCUACGGGAGGCAGCAGUGGGGAAUAUUGGACAAUGGGCGCAAGCCUGAUCCAGCAAUGCCGCGUGAGUGAUGAAAGCCUUAGGGUUGUAAAGCUCUUUUACCCGGGAAGAUAAUGACUGUACCGGGAGAAUAAGCCCCGGCUAACUCCGUGCCAGCAGCCGCGGUAAUACGAGGGGGCUAGCGUGUUCGGAAUUACUGGGCGUAAAGCGCGCGUAGGCGGUCG